CGCCCAACCUCCCACCCGUGACUACCUAACACUGUUGCUUCGGCGGGGAGCCCUCUCGGGGGCGAGCCGCCGGGGACUACUGAACUUCAUGCCUGAGAGUGAUGCAGUCUGAGUCUGAAUAUAAAAUCAGUCAAAACUUUCAACAAUGGAUCUCUUGGUUCCGGCAUCGAUGAAGAACGCAGCGAACUGCGAUAAGUAAUGUGAAUUGCAGAAUUCAGUGAAUCAUCGAGUCUUUGAACGCACAUUGCGCCCCCUGGCAUUCCGGGGGGCAUGCCUGUCCGAGCGUCAUUGCUGCCCAUCAAGCCCGGCUUGUGUGUUGGGUCGUCGUCCCCCCCGGGGGACGGGCCCGAAAGGCAGCGGCGGCACCGUGUCCGGUCCUCGAGCGUAUGGGGCUUUGUCACCCGCUCGAUUAGGGCCGGCCGGGCGCCAGCCGACGUCUCCAACCAUUUUCUUCAGGUUGACCUCGGAUCAGGUAGGGAUACCCGCUGAACUUAAGCAUAUCAAUAAGCGGAGGAAA
rnacentral:rRNA from 1 species